rnacentral:rRNA from 1 species
ACCCAAUAGAUACCCAGGUAGUCCACGCCCUAAACGAUGGAUACUCGACAUACGCGAUACACUGUGUGUGUCUGAGCGAAAGCAUUAAGUGUCCCACCUGGGAAGUACGAUCGCAAGAUUGAAACUCAAAGGAAUUGGCGGGGUCGCACAAGCGGUGGAGCAUGUGGUUUAAUUACGAUGAUACGCGAGGAACCUUACCUGGGCUAGAAUGCAUUUGUACCGUGGGUGAAAGCUCACUUUGUAGCAAUACACAAUUGUAAGGUGCUGCAUGGCUGUCGUCAGCUCGUGCCGUGAGGUGUUGGGUUUAAGUCCCGCAACGAGCGCAACCCCUAUCACUAGUUGCCAUCAGGUAACGCUGGGAACUCUAGUGAAACUGCCGUCGUAAGACGUGAGGAAGGAGGG